ACCAAACAGUAAGUUACAAAUGCAGCACAGCCAACAAGGCAUAAGAUGGAUUCUUCAGCAGCCAAUAGCCAUGCACAUGUCCAUAGCAAACCCCUCCUCUAUCCACAUAUAUUCCCCACCCUCACUAAUUUCCUCAUCCUCCUCCACCUCCAAAACACCACAAAAUUGGCGCUGUGUCCGAAAUGGGCUUUUGUUGUUCAAAUCUUGUUGACUCUGAUCAAUCUGAAUAGAGCCACUUCUUCUUCUUCGGACCCUCUUGUUCAGCAAGGGUUGGACAAGGUCCUUCAGCUCCCAGGCCAAACCUUUAAAAUAUCUCCUUUGCACUCUAUGCUGGGUACGUCACAGUUAAUAGUAGUACACUGGGAGGGCUCUAUUCUACUGGUUCAUUGAGGCUGCUGAAGACCCUUCUUCUAAGCCUCUGGUUCUUUGGCUCAAUGGAGGGCCUGGAUAUUCAUCCAUUGCUAAUAGGCAGUCAGAGGAAAUAGGGCCGUUUCACAUUAAGGAGGACGGGAAGACCCUUUAUUUGAAUCCAUACUCUUGGAAUCAAGGCUACCACUUCUUCAACAAUCUUCAUACAGAAAAUAUGUAAUGAAGAUCACUUCCCAUCUAAGGUGGCUUGCUUAUCCCACAUUAUUGUCAUUGACAACAUAAAGAAGAACUUGAAUGAAACCCAACUAAAGAUGUUUAAAAAAAUCUUGUUUUGACCACUUCUUAGGUAUGGCUGAUUUGAAAUUUUCUGCUCAAAUUGUUCAUAAUAUGUUUUUACACCAAUGUGACACCAAAAGAGAAGAUGAGAUGUGGAUACUUGUUCACUCAAAAGGAUUGAGAUUUAGUGUGUCGGAGUUUGCAUUGAUAACUGGGUUGAAAUUUGGUAAUAUUUCACAAUUUGACUUAACAUCUUUAAGAAUAAGAUAUCAAUAUUUCAAUGGAGAGAAUAAGAUUCGUAAUAAUUGAUUGGAGGAGGUUUUCAUCUCAUUAUGUAAGAAAGGAAAGAGAACAAGCACAAAAAGGACAAAAAAAGAAGGCAAAGGUAAGUGGGAAAUCAAAUCUUGAUGAAGAUAUUGUAAUGUUAGCAUUGUUGUACUUUGUUGAGCAUGUCUUACUAGGAAAUGAAGGGAAUAAUUUGAUAGAUUUACAAUGGGUUCAACUUGUUGAUAGUCUAGAGGAGUUCAACAAGUAUCCUUGGGGAAGAAUUUGCUAUGAGAGAACAUUGUUUGGGUUGUAAAGGGCUUUGGACAAAAGAUAGUCAAAAUAUGUAGAGAAGAAAAAACGAAAAGGGAAAUGCAACCUAUGAAGCAUAUGCACUUGUGGGAUUUCCAUAUGCCUUUCAAAUUUGGGCAUAUGAAAUCAUUCCAUUGCUUGGAAUGAAAUAUGCAAGUCACAUUGGUAGAAGUUUCCCCAGAAUUUUAAAUUGGACAAGUACUGCAACUUCAAAAUACACUGAGAUUCAAUCCUUAUUUGUAAAGUCAAAUUUAUCUUUGCAUUCCAUACUCAUUCCCACAUUGGAAAAGCGUGAACAAGAGUAUGUGAAAUGUUUUGAAUUCGAGGUUGAAUCAAAUGAUGUCUUCCAAGAUGAUGUGAAUGAUUGGGAGAAAGAUGAAGAUCAUGAAGAAGCUGAGGCCUAUACCACUGCUACAACAACAUCAAUGAAAGGUGGAAAAGAAGGUUGGAAACCUGAGUAAUGAGCCAUAUACUGCAACAAUGGGAAAUGAAACAAUGUUGGACUUCAAAAAAAUUGAGACAUCGAGGAAAGACAAUAAUAAGGAGGCUUUGAUAGAUGACCCCCCUGAUGCAACAGUAGUUCAUGUUUUCCCACAUCAAGUAUCACCGAAUAUCUUUAAGCAAAGAAGGGAGCAAAAAGUGGAUGGUUGUUGGAGGAUGAAUCAAAAGGCAUGGAACAAAUACAUUUUACCGGAAGAUGACAUCCUCAUCGAUUAUGCCAUGGGUUUUUAUCCUAGGCCUUCUUUGAAAUGAUCUGAGGUUGAUGUCAUAUAUGUUCCUAUCAAUUUAAGGAACACACAUUGGGUAUUGGGAGUUGUCCACCUUCGUAGUAGGAAAAUUUACAUUUAUGACUCUUUAAAGUCAAUUAACAAACCCAAUGGAUUGAAAACACUCAUCACACCAUUAGUAAUGUUGUUACCACAUAUCUUAAGUGCUAUAAAAUACUAUGAGGAGAAUGGUGACCCCAAGGGUGAUAAAGGGUGGGACAUUGAGAUAUUGAACAACAUUCCACAACAAACAAAGGAGUAUGUACAAUAUUUUCCAUGGCAACAUGCAUAUUUCAUUAUAUACACAAUAAUAUUGAAAAUUGUUAACAUCACAUUUUUUGUGUUCAUGCAAUGGUGAUUGUGGAAUGUUUUUUUUAUCAAAUUUGUGGAAUACCUAAUGCACAACCAUCCAAUGGAUACACUAAUAGGCGAGCAGAUGGAUUGGUUUCGUGAGAAGAUGGCAAUGAAGUUAUUUUUCCAUAAAGAACUUCCUAUGUGAUCCCACCACUGUAAAUGGAUUGUAAAUAGAUAGUGGAAGAUGUUUCUAUGUAAUGAAAUUGAAGUUUUUUGUUUGACAUAUUUCUUUAUUAUGACACUUAUUUAAA